rnacentral:rRNA from 1 species
UGGGGAAUAUUGCACAAUGGGGGAAACCCUGAUGCAGCGACGCCGCGUGAACGAAGAAGGUAUUCGUAUCGUAAAGUUCUGUCCUAUGGGAAGAUAAUGACAGUACCAUAGAAGAAAGCUCCGGCUAAAUACGUGCCAGCAGCCGCGGUAAUACGUAUGGAGCGAGCGUUGUCCGGAAUUAUUGGGCGUAAAGGGUACGCAGGCGGUUUAAUAAGUCGAAUGUUAAAGAUCGGGGCUCAACCCCGUAAAGCAUUGGAAACUGAUAAACUUGAGUAGUGGAGAGGAAAGUGGAAUUCCUAGUGUAGUGGAGAAAUACGUAGAUAUUAGGAGGAAUACCAGAAGCGAAGGCGACUUUCUGGACACAAACUGACGCUGAGGUACGAAAGCGUGGGGAGCAAACAGG